AGCGAACGCUGGCGGCAGGCUUAACACAUGCAAGUCGAGCGGGCGUAGCAAUACGUCAGCGGCAGACGGGUGAGUAACGCGUGGGAACGUACCUUUUGGUUCGGAACAACCCAGGGAAACUUGGGCUAAUACCGGAUAAGCCCUUACGGGGAAAGAUUUAUCGCCGAAAGAUCGGCCCGCGUCUGAUUAGCUAGUUGGUGAGGUAACGGCUCACCAAGGCGACGAUCAGUAGCUGGUCUGAGAGGAUGAUCAGCCACAUUGGGACUGAGACACGGCCCAAACUCCUACGGGAGGCAGCAGUGGGGAAUAUUGGACAAUGGGCGCAAGCCUGAUCCAGCCAUGCCGCGUGAGUGAUGAAGGCCCUAGGGUUGUAAAGCUCUUUUGUGCGGGAAGAUAAUGACGGUACCGCAAGAAUAAGCCCCGGCUAACUUCGUGCCAGCAGCCGCUGU
rnacentral:rRNA from 1 species